rnacentral:lncRNA from 1 species
GAAACCUACACAUAAAGUUGGAUCGACUCAUCAGGACUGCAGGGAAGUUUAAAGUCAUUCCUGGUUGAAAUAAACAUAUAAUCAAUAGACAAAAAAAUAAAAUGCAUCAUUGUUUCCGAUUUUGGAUUUCACUAAGCAUUUUGUUUAGUGGUUACUGGUCUACUGUAUCUUCAGG